rnacentral:rRNA from 1 species
AUUGAACGCUGGCGGCAUGCCUUACACAUGCAAGUCGAACGGUAACAGGUCUUCGGAUGCUGACGAGUGGCGAACGGGUGAGUAAUACAUCGGAACGUGCCCGAUCGUGGGGGAUAACGGAGCGAAAGCUUUGCUAAUACCGCAUACGAUCUACGGAUGAAAGCAGGGGACCGCAAGGCCUUGCGCGGACGGAGCGGCCGAUGGCAGAUUAGGUAGUUGGUGGGAUAAAAGCUUACCAAGCCGACGAUCUGUAGCUGGUCUGAGAGGACGACCAGCCACACUGGGACUGAGACACGGCCCAGACUCCUACGGGAGGCAGCAGUGGGGAAUUUUGGACAAUGGGCGCAAGCCUGAUCCAGCCAUGCCGCGUGCAGGAUGAAGGCCUUCGGUGUUAACUAGCUUUGUACGGACGAAAGAACUCUUCUAAUAAAGAGGUCGAUGACGGUACGUACGAAUAAGACACCGCGUAACUACGUAGCAGCAGCGCGGU